AUGGAAUAGAGGGGUGUAGAGGGUAAGGGGUUGGGUGAGCAUAUUAGGAAAAAAAAGCAAAAAAGACAAACACAAACAGAAGAAGAAGAAAAAGUUUAGUUGUGAUGACUAGAAUUUUUUUUGUAUGAUUUGUUGUAUUGUUGGGUUGUAACCAAGCCAUAAACCAUCGUUGUCCACACGUACAGCUUUAUUACUUACUUACUACUACAAACCAUUUCAAAGUUCCAAUCUUUGAUCUCUUUUUUGUGUGUUUGGAUUUAUUGAGGCAAUUGGGGUUUAUGGGAUUUUGAUAAAGAUUCAAGAAAGUGAUUUGUUUUGUGUGUUUGGAUUUAUUGAGACAAUUGGGGUUUAUGGGGUUUUGAGAAAAUUCAAGAAAGUGAUUUGUAUUGUAUGUUUUGUGGUAAAGUUUUGAACUUUUUUGUGUGUUUGGAUUUAUUCUGUCAGUUGGAGUUUAUGGGGUUUUGAGAAAGAUUCAAGGAAGUGAUUUGUUUUGUGUGUUUUGUGGUAAAGUUUUGAACUAUUUUGUGCGUUUGGAUUUAUUCUGACAAUUGGAGUUUAUGGGGGUUUGAGAAAGAUUCAAGGAAGUGAUUUGUUUUGUGGUAAAGUUUUGAACUUUUUUGUCUGGAAUUCUUGAUUUUGGGGUGCAAUCUUUUUUUUUUUGGUGUGUGUGGGGUUCAAGAAAAUGACUGUGGAAGAAAUUAGAGGGAAUAUGGGUGGUGGUGAAAGGGGAAAUAAUUAUGAUAAUUUUCCUAUUGGUAUGAGAGUUCUUGCUGUUGAUGAUGACCCUAUUUGUUUGAAGCUUUUGGAUGGUUUGCUCAGAAAAUGCCAGUAUCAGGUAACUACAACAAGUCAGGCAAGGAUGGCAUUGAAGAUGUUGAGGGAGAAUAGAGAUAGAUUUGAUUUGGUCAUCAGUGAUGUUCACAUGCCUGAUAUGGAUGGCUUUAAACUUCUUGAACUUGUUGGUCUUGAGAUGGAUCUUCCAGUCAUAAUGUUGUCUGCAAACAGCGAUACCAAACUUGUAAGGAAGGGAAUCGAUCAUGGUGCUUGCGACUAUCUGGUGAAACCUGUUCGAAUUGAGGAGUUGAGGAACAUAUGGCAACAUGUGAUCAGAAAAAAGAAGGUUGAGCCUAAGAGCCAGAGCAAGUCUAAUGAUCAAGACAAAUCUUAUCAGGUAAGUGGAGAAAGUGGUCGAGGGCAAUCACCAACAGGUAAUGUAGAUCAAAACGGAAAAUGUAACAAGAAAAGGAAGGAUGAAGAAGAUGAGAAUGAUGAAAAUGGAAAUGACAAUGAAGAUCCAACAACUCAGAAGAGAGCUCGUGUCGUUUGGUCCAUAGAACUUCACAGGAAGUUUGUUGCAGCUGUUGGUCAGUUGGGCAUCGAAAAAGCUGUCCCAAAGAGGAUUCUUGACCUGAUGAAUGUUGACGGGCUUACAAGGGAGAAUGUGGCAAGCCAUCUGCAGAAGUAUAGGCUUUACUUGAAAAGGAUCAAUUCAGUUCAAACCCAACAAGCAAACAUGGUUGCCGCAUUAGGGGGAAGGGACUAUGUGCGAAUGGGCUCACUGGAUGGGCUUGGAGAUUUUCGAACAUUGGGUGGAUCAGGACGGUAUACUCAUGCUGCCUUGUCAUCGUACAGUUCAGGGGGCAUGCUUGGCAGACUAAAUAGUGCUGCUGGUCUGAGCGUGCGCAACCUGGCAGCAUCUCAGCUACUCCAACCUAGUCAUGGUCAAAAUUUGAGCAAUUCCGUUAAUGCUUUUACAAAACUGAAUUCAAACAUUCCGCCUGCUAGCCAGAAUACUAGUUUAUUUCAAGGCAUUCCUGCAUCAUUGGAGCUUGAUCAAUUGCAGCAGAGUAAGUCCUCGGCACAUAUUCCUUUGGACGAGUCGAGACUGCUUACAGCUGAUGUGCUCAGUUGCUCAAAUAACUCCUUAUCCAAUGUUCCAAAUAAUACGAUGUUGCUUCAAGGGAAUCCCCAGCAACCACUUACUGGGGGAGGAUUUGGAAAUCAGCACUCUCAAAACACGACUCCGUUUAGCUCAGACUCGUUCAAUACUUGUGUUAAUGGAUCUUCCAACUUUCUGGAACAUGGUAGAUGUAAUGAGAACUGGCAAAAUUCCGUUCAGCUAUCGAAGUUCCAGUCUAAUUCUUUCCCAUUGACUGAAUCCUUCAUUAACAGCCAUUUGCCACAAAAUAGUGUAAGGGAAGCGACGACUCAUUUACAGAACAGCCCUCUUGAUUUUACUUCCACCAUCUCAGUUUCUCCUCCUUUUGAAGAUUCAAGGGGAGAAAUCCAAUACCGUCAAAGUAUGGCUGGUGCUGUUCAGAGUAUGAAUCAAACACCAUCUCAAGCAUGGGCCGAUAAUAAACAACAUUAUUCCCACAAUUCAAAUAAUACUUUUGGCAACAACUUAAGGUCUCAGGUUCCCAAUGAUGGUAACAUGGCUUCUUUAAGCCACAGUAUGAAUCAAAGCAAUGAGAACUUUGGCAGAAGGAUGGACAUGUCAUUGAUUGGUAGAUCGAGUGGAGGUUCUUCGACACUCGUGCAGCAAACCGAGCAUGAAAAGUUGACCCCAGAUUCAAGGACAAGGUCAAAUGAAGACUACCUCUUGGAGCCAACAAAGCUACAAGUUGGUUUUAGUCCACAAGGCUAUGACUCCCUGGAUGAUCUAAUGACUGCAAUGAAACGGAGGGGGUGAUGACAUAUAUUUGCUUCACCAACAAUAGCAACCAAUACCACAAAAAGCAGGGCUGAAUCAAAUGGCUAUGUUGGUUAUCUCUUCCUAUAGCUUCUCGGGAUAAAACACUGUUUCCCCUUUUGGAUUCAUCUGGCACUAUAUCUGAUGUCAAUAAGGAGCAAGAUGGAGGCAUGUUAGAUGAAGGAACAAUAUGGAUUUAACUAUGAAGUUUUCUAUAGCUGUCAGCAAGAAGAGGAUCUAGCUAGGUUGCAGCAUUACUAAUUUUCUUCCUUUUAGGAGUUAUAGUGUCAAUAUGUAGUACUACUCCGCAGGCCUUCUGUUUGGUUAUUUUCUUCUGGAAAUGAUGUUAUUGACAGUACCAUUUCUAAUGUAAAUUGCUUGCUGCUUCUUAGCUC